UUUGAUCCUGGCUCAGAUUGAACGCUGGCGGCAUGCCUUACACAUGCAAGUCGAGCGGCAGCGCGGGGGCAACCCUGGCGGCGAGCGGCGCACGGGUGAGUAAUGCAUCGGAACGUGUCCUCUUGUGGGGGAUAACCAGUCGAAAGACUGGCUAAUACCGCAUGAGAUCGAGAGAUGAAAGCAGGGGACCCGCAAGGGCCUUGCGCGAGAGGAGCGGCCGAUGCCGGAUUAGCUAGUUGGUAGGGUAAAAGCCUACCAAGGCGACGAUCCGUAGCUGGUUUGAGAGAACGACCAGCCACACUGGGACUGAGACACGGCCCAGACUCCUACGGGAGGCAGCAGUGGGGAAUUUUGGACAAUGGGGGCAACCCUGAUCCAGCCAUGCCGCGUGAGUGAAGAAGGCCUUCGGGUUGUAAAGCUCUUUCGGCCGGAACGAAAUCGCACGGGUGAAUAUCCCGUGUGGAUGACGGUACCGGAAUAAGAAGCACCGGCUAACUACGUG
rnacentral:rRNA from 1 species